GGGUCAUUGGAAACUGGGAAACUUGAGUGCAGAAGAGGAGAGUGGAAUUCCACGUGUAGCGGUGAAAUGCGUAGAGAUGUGGAGGAACACCAGUGGCGAAGGCGACUCUCUGGUCUGUAACUGACGCUGAGGAGCGAAAGCGUGGGGAGCGAACAGGAUUAGAUACCCUGGUAGUCCACGCCGUAAACGAUGAGUGCUAAGUGUUAGGGGGUUUCCGCCCCUUAGUGCUGCAGCUAACGCAUUAAGCACUCCGCCUGGGGAGUACGGUCGCAAGACUGAAACUCAAAGGAAUUGACGGGGGCCCGCACAAGCGGUGGAGCAUGUGGUUUAAUUCGAAGCAACGCGAAGAACCUUACCAGGUCUUGACAUCCUCUGACAACCCUAGAGAUAGGGCUUUCCCUUCGGGGACAGAGUGACAGGUGGUGCAUGGUUGUCGUCAGCUCGUGUCGUGAGAUGUUGGGUUAAGUCCCGCAACGAGCGCAACCCUUGAUCUUAGUUGCCAGCAUUCAGUUGGGCACUCUAAGGUGACUGCCGGUGACAAACCGGGAGGAAGGUGGGGAUGACGUCAAAUCAUCAUGCCCCUUUAUGACCUGGGCUACACACGUGCUACAAUGGACAGAACAAA
rnacentral:rRNA from 2 species